AUAGUUCUGGGAUGCUGGAAUGCGCCCAGAACGAAAACUCCGGUGCCAGAGGAUGGGUCUGCGGCCUAUCAGGUAGUAGUGGGUGUAACGUACCCUCUAGCCUACGACGGGUAUGGGCCUCGGGAGAGGAAGCCCAGAGAUGGGCUCUGAGACACGAGUCCAGGCCCUACGGGGCGCAGCAGUUACGAAACCUUCACAAUGUGGGAAACCACGAUGAGGGGAUUCCGAGUGCUAACGCAUUCGCGUUAGCUGUUCUCAUGCCUAAAAAGCAUGAGAAGUAAGGGCCGGGUAAGACGGGUGCCAGCCGCCGCGGUAAUACCCGCGGCCCGAGUGGUGCUUGAUAUUAUUGAGCCUAAAACGUCCGUAGCCGGUUCUGUAAAUCCAUGGGUAAAUUGAACAGCUCAACUGUUCGAAGUCCGCGGACACUGCAGGACUCGGGACUGGGAGAGGUCAGAGGUACUUCUGGGGUAGGGGUAAAAUCCUGUAAUCCUGGAAGGACCACCAGUGGCGAAGGCGUCUGACUAGAACAGAUCCGACGGUGAGGGACGAAGCCCUGGGGCGCAAACGGGAUUAGAUACCCCGGUAGUCCAGGGUGUAAACGCUGCGGGCUUGGUGUUGGAGGUUCUAAGGGAACGUCCAGU
rnacentral:rRNA from 1 species